AUGAAGCCAACAAAGAAGAAACGCCUGACCUGGUUGCCGCAAGAUAUCAUCGAACUGAUACUUGUGAGGCUUCCGGUGAGCAACCUGCUGAGGUGCCGUGUUGUCUGCAAGCAGUGGGAUGGCAUCAUUCGGGAUCCGCAGUUCACCAUGGCACACCUCCGGCACGCGCAGCGUCGCCCCCUUUUAUUCUUCCAACAAGACGGGUCUUCAGGCAAGCUCUGCCCUAGCGAAGCAGUCCUCUUUGACGAGGCCUGGUCGCCAUCGAAAUGGGAUGUGCCCGUGGUUGAGCCUGAUGAUUUCUUGUGCGGUUCGUGCAACGGUCUUCUUUGCUUGUACUCGAGCAAAUCGACCAUCAAGAUUGCCAACCUCGCCACCGGUGAAUGUAUGCACCUCGCCAAACCCGUUAAGAUGUACUCGACGGGUGAUCACCCUUCGUUCUACAGCUUUGGUUUCAGCCCAGCUACAAAUGAAUACAAGGUCUUGCACUUUCUUCCGGGCAAUGAGCACCACCAUGUCGGUGGUUCCUUCAGUGUCAUUCAAGUUUACACGCUGGGUGAUGAGCAGUGGAGGGUUGUCAGAACUGAACAAGCUCUGAGCUUGUACUGUGUGAAACAAAGUGGAGUUGUCAAUGUUGACGGAGCAAUGUACUGGCUAACCCAUGACAAAGAAAGCAGCUGGCGACGGGCCGUCGUAUCCUUUGAUCUCAGAGAUGAAUGUCUAAAAUUAAUACGGUUGCCCGAAGUUGAUUUUGCGGAUCCUGCAUUUGGUAAUCCGUUUCUUUACUGGAUCACGGAGAUAGAUUCCAAGGUGUCUGUGGCUGCUGUUCAAGUCAGAAGAGAUACCGGGCUUACAGGGAAGCUGCAUAUUUGGACACUUGACAACAAGACAGAGCAAAGCAGCUGGAUCCAGACGUAUAGUAUUGAGUUAUCAACACUUAAAGUUCUUGGACCACAUUUCAUCUACGGGGAUAAGAUUAUCAUGCAUAGUGUUAACGGCGGCAUAUAUUGCCAUGAACUUACGAGCCAGCGCUUUACAAUCGACGUAACCAAGUUAGGGAAGCUGUUACUUUUCAGCCCCCGCUGUGGCUACCGGAGUAUUCAAUCCUGUAUGUAUGUGAAGUCACUUGUGCGGUUGGAUGCAUACAAGAAGGCUGGUAUCGUGCGCACGCCAAAGCGAAAAGAGGGUUGGAAAUUGAAGAAGUGGGAGGCGUGGGAACACGACCGUUCUGAGAUAGAAGAGCUGUGGAGAUCCGCCCAUCGGAUUCAGCAAAGGAUGCAUGAAAUGGCACAUGUGAUCGGCGCAGCCAUCAGUCUGAACUUGCCUGCACCACCAGAUCAGGAUAGCCCCCACCGACGGCUUAAUUGGGUGGAGCAGAGGCGGAUGACGGACAUGCUGGAGUCUCAUGUUGAUAGUUUGGAUGCUCAAUGGAAGGUCUUAGUCCAGGCAGCUGACGCCUUCAGUGUUGAGAGCAAGAAGAUGAUCCCAGCGGCAGACCAGGCAAAGCAGAGAAAUGGAGAGGAGAGCGAGGCUGGGUCAUCAAGGCCCAAGGGAAGCCCAGCUCCAGAUUUGAUUCGUCGACGUGGACAACCUGAUUCGGCAGCGCCGGCGGCCACCACCAUAUUAACAGAGAAGUAUGAGAAAUUAUACUUAAUUAGUAGAAUGCAAGUGCGUUGCCAUAGGCAUUUUAAAAAUCUUGCUGGUUCAUCAUGA
rnacentral:rRNA from 1 species